rnacentral:rRNA from 1 species
UACGAAGGGUGCAAACGUUGCUCGGAAUUAUUGGGCGUAAAGCGCACGUAGGCGGCUUUGCAAGUCGGAUGUGAAAUCCCUCGGCUUAACCAAGGAAGUGCAUCCGAAACUGCAGAGCUUGAGUACUUAAGAGGAUCGCGGAAUUCCCGGUGUAGAGGUGAAAUUCGUAGAUAUCGGGAGGAACACCAGUGGCGAAGGCGGCGAUCUGGGGAAGAUACUGACGCUGAGGUGCGAAAGCGUGGGGAGCAAACAGG